rnacentral:rRNA from 1 species
UGACAGAUUGAGAGCUCUUUCUCGAUUCGAGUGGGUGGUGGUGCAUGGCCGUUCUUAGUUGGUGGAGUGAUUUGUCUGGUUAAUUCCGAUAACGAACGAGACUCUGUCCUGCUAAAUAGUGAGUUGAUUCCUUUGUCAACUCGUCUUCUUAAAGGGACUGGCGGAUUCAAACCGCACGAGAUUGAGCAAUAACAGGUCUGUGAUGCCCUUAAAUGUUCUGGGCUGCACACCCCCUACACUGAAGGGAUCAACGUGCUUUCCCUGUCCGAUAGGACCGGGUAACCCGCUGAACCCCCUUCGUGGUAGGGAUUGGAGCUUGCAAUUAUUCUCCAUGAACCAGGAAUUCCCAGUAGGUGCAAGUCAUAAGCUUGCCUCGAUUACGUCCCUGCCCUUUGUAAUAA